UUAAUGUAUAGAAAUAAAUUGAAAUGCAAUCAUUAGGAUCUCGAAUCCCCAAUUGACUAUUAAAAAUUCUAAUUUCACAAAUUCAACGAAUCGAUGGAAAAAUGCCAAUUCAAUGUUCCUAAACCUAUCCAAUAUACUCUCUCGAUAUAUACUGAAUCUACUCUUGCACACCACCAGCCUAUAUUUCUAUGGAUGAUGCAAUUAUACAAGAAUGCAUGAAUUUUUAUAAACACCUUAUGAAUUGCAUAAAGCAUAGGGGUAUAUUUCUAUCCCCUAUCGAACCCUAUGUUAAUUUAUAUUAUAUCGAAUCUAUUCCCCUUCUUUCGAAUGCAAAGAAUAAAUCAUCUAAACUCACAUAACAUAUGGCCAAUAAUUACGGAAGCAAUCAAAUCAUAUAAAUCAAACAAUUGUCCAA
rnacentral:lncRNA from 1 species